UACGUAGGGUGCGAGCGUUGCCCGGAUUUAUUGGGCGUAAAGGGCGCGUAGGCGGCUCUGCACGUCCGUUGUGAAAUCGCCCGGCUCAACUGGGCGGGGUCAGCGGAUACGGCGGAGCUUGAGCAAGCUAGGGGGCAAUGGAAUUCCCGGUGUAGUGGUGGAAUGCGUAGAGAUCCGGCGGAACACCGGUGGUGAAGACGGUCUCCUGGGCCGAGGGCCGACGCUGAUGCGCGAAAGCGUGGGGAGCGAUCCGG
rnacentral:rRNA from 1 species